rnacentral:rRNA from 1 species
CAACCUGCCCUUCCAGAGGGGGAUAACAUUUGGAAACAGAUGCUAAUACCGCAUAAGAUUACAGUACCGCAUGAUACAGUGAUCAAAGGAGCAAUCCGCUGAAAGAUGGGCUCGCGUCCGAUUAGAUAGUUGGUGAGGUAACGGCUCACCAAGUCGACGAUCGGUAGCCGGACUGAGAGGUUGAACGGCCACAUUGGGACUGAGACACGGCCCAG